UUUUGCCCGGGCCCUUUUAAAGUAUUAAAAUAGGCCAAACAAAUAAGUCCUGGUAAAUUGAACACACACAAAUAAAGAAUCCAAAUUCAGAAGUCCAAUGUCCGGUUACAAAUAUUUGGGCCAAAAAUAACUUAAACCCAAAAUCCUUUAAUAUAGACUUAACCCAAUCCUUAGUUCGAACAGCCCAAACCCGAGGCCCAAUACACCUAAAAGGAAACACAACAGUUGAAAGAACCAGAAGCUUCUGGAAUGUCAGAGAGUUGGGCUCCCAUGAGAGGCUCCUCGUAUGGCCUCCUUCGCGCGUCUCCUUACUCCUCCGUACGACCAUCCCUGCGUUAGAAUACACGAGAAGAGGCCAACUAACAGAAUACAACAAAUGACAGUAAUAAAAAUAUUUUUUUAUUUAUUUUACUCUGUAAAUUUGGCUAUAAAAGCCGAUGAUUGUACCUGCAAAAGGGAUGACGAAUAUAUUACGCACACCAGAUAUAAAAAAAAAGAGCAUUUCACAAGCAUUUUUUUAGAGGUGAUUUUCUGUUUAAUAGUUACUUUUAAAUUUCGGCUGAAUGACUUCAUUUUUAUCUUUUAUUAUUGUAUUAAAAAAAUGAUAGAAAGAAAGAGAGAAGAAAUCUCACCUUAUGGAUCGGCCAUUGAUCUCUUUGCUUCUUCAGACUUGAAGUGGAAAAAGAGGUCUUAAGGCCGAAAAUUAUCAUCAAAAGGCCACAUUUGUCGGUUGUUGUUUUUAAGGGAAGAUCGGCGUUGGUGUUAAAAGGGGAAUCAAACGGCGCCAUCCAUCAAUUGUGAUGUUGAAAGCGGCGGCCGAAUGUGAGCAAACCCUUAGGUUUUUUUUCCCCUUUUUUCAAUCUGCUCUGCCGAAAUAAGCUCGUAGAAGCUAUUUUUUUUCUUUUAAUU
rnacentral:lncRNA from 1 species